rnacentral:rRNA from 1 species
UACAGAGGGUGCGAGCGUUAAUCGGAAUUACUGGGCGUAAAGCGCGCGUAGGCGGCUUUGCAAGUCGGGUGUGAAAUCCCCCAGGCUUAACCUGGGAACUGCAUUCGAGACUGCAUUGCUAGAGUAUGGGAGAGGGAAGUGGAAUUUCCGGUGUAGCGGUGAAAUGCGUAGAUAUCUGGAGGAACACCGGUGGCGAAGGCGGUUAGCUGGGGUCGGACUGACGCUGAGGCGCGACAGCGUGGGGAGCAAACAGG